CCAGCUACGUGUGUCCUUCUCACAGCCUUCUGGUCCAGGACACUGUCUCCUCUCCUCUGGAUGCCUGUGAGCCUCCACGCUGCCCUGCUAUUGGAUUGGUGGUUGACAAGACAGACCGACUACAGCUCUCUUUGCCGGGUCUAUGUCUGAGGUUCUAACACUCAUGGCUUAGACUGGUGGGUGGAAGAUGUGAUGGGCCAAAGGGUUUGUGACAAACACUGGUGCUGACCAGAGAGCAUGCUAACAAAAUUCUCUUUGUCAGCUACUAAUGGAACACCUUCUGGUUCAGGUUCCAAACGGGAAAAUUAAGAGCUAGUGUCACAAAAUGUCGUUCAGAUGAGUACCCUAGGUGUGCAAGUCGUGAAGUUGCUCCUGACUCAUAGUGGGAUCUGCAAGCCUUGCUGUGCACACCUCUGCCGAGCAGCAAGCAGCUGCAGAUUUUCAGGAGCCAUUGUGACCCCUCUCACAGGCCUGCAGGGCAGCAGCAGGGCUGGUGGGAUCCAGGAGGGCUUGGUUGGUCCAGGCUCUGGGCUGGAGGUGGGGUCCGACCGCUGGUGUGAAGUUAGGGCCACAAAGGCAAAAGGCCAGUUGCACGUUCUUUUCAAACCUUUGCCAGUUUCUCACUGGCCCGUGCUAGUAACAGUCAAAUUCAGAGUCUAAGGCCAGGAAAGUCCUUCCACACACCCUGCUGCUGUGGAGAGUGGAGAAGCAGGAAUGAUAUUUCAGACCUCAAGUAUGCCAUUUAACCUGUCAGCAAGCCUGCAAGAAGGGCUGUUUCUAAUCUAUUGGACUAUCGUGAUACAGUGAAUUAUAAUACAGUGUGCUAUAUGCUGCCCCAGAAACAUGUCUAACCAAUUUAUAAUUAUAUAAUAAAAUGUAUCAUAAUAUAUAAA